rnacentral:rRNA from 1 species
UUUUCUUAGUAGCGGCGAGCGAAAAGAAAUCAGUUCAGCACUAAGUCACUUUGUCUUUAUGGCAAAUGUGAGAUGCAGUGUAUGGAACGUCUACAAUCUAGUAUGAGAAAUUAAUGAUUUAAGUCCUUCUUAAAUGAGGCCAAUUACCCAUAGAGGGUGCCAGGCCCGUAUAACGUUAAUGAUUACUAGAAGGCGAUUCCAAAGAGUCGUGUUGCUUGAUAGUGCAGCACUAAGUUGGUGGUAAACUCCAUCUAAAACUAAAUAUGACCAUGAGACCGAUAGUAAACAAGUACCGUGAGGGAAAGUUGAAAAGAACUCUGAAUAGAGAGUUAAAUAGUACGUGAAACUGCUUAGAGGUUAAGCCCGAUGAACCUGAAUAUCCGUUAUGGAAAAUUCAUCAUUAAAAUUGUAAUAUCUUUACUUUUUGUUUUUUUUAACAAAAAGAAAGAAAAUAUUAUAAUGAUAGUGUGCAUUUUUUCCAUAUAAGGACAUUGUAAUCUAUUAACAUAAUAAAAUGUUUAUCAAAAAAUCAUAAACAUAAAGUUUAUUUAAAUUAUUAUGCUUGCAUUUUAACAUAGAAUAAAUGUUAAUGAUUUGAUAAAGUGUUGAUAAAUUUAUCAUAUAUACAAUGCUUUAAUUUUUCGAAAUUAUAUAAUAGCAUAAUUAUCAUCGAUUUUUAUGUUUAUUAUAUGCAUUUGUAUGAUUAACAAUGCGAAAGAUUCAGGAUACCCUCGGGACCCGUCUUGAAACACGGACCAAGGAGUCUAACAUAUAUGCAAGUCAUUGGGAUUUUAUAAACCUAAUGGCAUAAUUAACUUAACUGUUGUUAAUAUAUGGGAUUAGUUUUUAAACUAUUUAUAGUUUAUUAACACAAUCCCGGGGCGUUCUAUAUAGUUAUGUAUAAUAAUAUUUAUAUUAUU